UACGUAGGGUGCGAGCGUUGUCCGGAAUUAUUGGGCGUAAAGAGCUCGUAGGCGGUGUGUCACGUCGGCCGUGAAAACCUGGGGCUUAACUCUGGGCGUGCGGUCGAUACGGGCAUCACUAGAGUUCGGCAGGGGAGACUGGAAUUCCUGGUGUAGCGGUGAAAUGCGCAGAUAUCAGGAAGAACACCCGUGGCUAAGGCGGUUCUCUAGUACGGUACUGACGCUGGAGACGCGAAAGCGUGGGGAGCGAACAGG
rnacentral:rRNA from 1 species